AUUGAACGCUGGCGGCAUGCUUUACACAUGCAAGUCGAACGGCAGCGCGGGCUUCGGCCUGGCGGCGAGUGGCGAACGGGUGAGUAAUGCAUCGGAACGUGCCCAGUAGUGGGGGAUAGCCCGGCGAAAGCCGGAUUAAUACCGCAUACGACCUGAGGGUGAAAGCGGUGGACCGAAAGGCCUCGCGCUAUUGGAGCGGCCGAUGUCGGAUUAGCUAGUUGGUGGGGUAAAGGCUUACCAAGGCGACGAUCCGUAGCUGGUCUGAGAGGACGACCAGCCACACUGGGACUGAGACACGGCCCAGACUCCUACGGGAGGCAGCAGUGGGGAAUUUUGGACAAUGGGGGCAACCCUGAUCCAGCCAUGCCGCGUGCGGGAAGAAGGCCUUCGGGUUGUAAUCCGCUUUUGUUCGGGAAGAAAUCCUCUGGGCUAAUACCCCGGGGGGAUGACGGUACCGGAAGAAUAAGCACCGGCUAACUACGUG
rnacentral:rRNA from 1 species